rnacentral:rRNA from 1 species
GCUUAACACAUGCAAGUCGAGGGGCAUCACGAAUGAAGCUUGCUUUAUUUGGUGGCGACCGGCGCACGGGUGAGUAACGCGUAUCCAACCUUCCCGUUACUCAGGGAUAGCCUUCCGAAAGGGAGAUUAAUACCUGAUGGUGUUCAAAUUCCGCAUGUUAUUUGAAUUAAAGAUUUAUCGGUAACGGAUGGGGAUGCGUGACAUUAGGUAGAUGGCGGGGUAACGGCCCACCAUGCCUACGAUGUCUAGGGGUUCUGAGAGGAAGGUCCCCCACACUGGAACUGAGACACGGUCCAGACUCCUACGGGAGGCAGCAGUGAGGAAUAUUGGUCAAUGGCCGGAAGGCUGAACCAGCCAAGUAGCGUGAAGGAUGAAGGUUCUAUGGAUUGUAAACUUCUUUUAUACGGGAAUAAAACCACCUACGUGUAGGUGCUUGUAUGUACCGUAUGAAUAAGCAUCGGCUAACUCCGUGCCAGCAGCCGCGGUAAUACGGAGGAUGCGAGCGUUAUCCGGAUUUAUUGGGUUUAAAGGGAGCGUAGGCGGGUUAUUAAGUCAGUCGUCAAAGCCUGUGGCUCAACCACAGCCCGCGAUUGAUACUGGUAACCUUGAGUGCGGAUGAGGUGGAUGGAAUUCGUGGUGUAGCGGUGAAAUGCUUAGAUAUCACGAA